AUGCGCAAGGACAGUCAAGUCUUGUAUAAAGAGCAGAAAAACUGUUGUAAAUUGGAGUUGGACAGCAAUUAGUUUUGGUCCGCAGUUUUUGCGCGCUGCCAUUGAACUGAAGUCUUAGUUCAUAAGCCAUAACCUACUGUGCAUUCUCAAGAAAACCACAACGCAGGCGGUUUAUGUUCAUAAAAUCGGCCAUGCUUGCAUGCGCCUUUUAAAAAUUUAGUGUUCAAUAUUUGGCACGUCCACUGAAGCAGAUACAUGACAUAAGGUCGAAGAAAUACUCUGUCUCUGAUCAGCUUGCAUCACCUUGAGGAGGAGGUACCGGCAGGACUUGCUCAAACGUGCCUACUUGAUAAAACUGGGGAAAGUCAUGAUAAGACAGCUGUUUGUGAGAGCUGUGCACCAUAUAGAGUUUCAGCCCUGCUCUUAGCAGGCUCUAUUCUUGCUGGUCCCACUCUCUAAUUUCUGGCAGGCGAGUCUUUUCGGCCUGAUUAGUAGCGGCAUCCCUCAAAGCCGCCUCCCUUCCCUGCCACGUACCGAGGAGGCGAGCUUACAGUCUGCCCUCGCUGCGGAGUGGGGCCUAAACAGACCCACCUCGAAGUGCCUGUCAAGAAGCUGUGCGUUUCCAACCAAGAAGCAAAAAGGGAGAAAACAUCCCCCACUGGCCUCGUUAAUGUAGGGUAGAAGAUUCUGUAAACUGCCCGUGGGUGGUUCCGAGCUCCAAAUGAAUAACUCCAGUCAAAUGGCUGCAACUGUGCACUGGGGACACCAAGGUGGGAGUUCAGAGUAAACCCAGGGUCUGCACAGGAAAACAUUGGAAAAAUAUUUGAAGCUGUUUGCAUCGCCUUCUGACAACAUGCUUGUAGGUCCUGCCUCCUACUGGGUGGUUUUGAUUUGUGUACCUUUGUGCAAAUCAGAAACCCAGGCAUGAGAGUUAUGUGAGGUGGUAGGCUGUUUAAUUCUGCUGAGCGUAUUGUGGGAAACAUGAGUGUGAGUGCUAGUUUUCCAGAGAAAAGCCCGCAAAGCUGGACUUGAUCCUCUGAUGCUGAAGUGGUAGUCAGUCAUGUGGCUUCCCUCCAGGCCUCUUUUGCGCACAAGUGUGGACCUCAUGACUAAAUCCAUUCGUUCUUGUCCACAUUGGUUCUUCCAGAUUUUUUAAUAAUCUCAGGGAAUAUUUAAUUUGAGGAACUGCCACUGUUUGGUAACUAUGGCAAUAAAACAUCUUGUGAUCCAGAUUAAACAGUACCUGCUGUUUGUACAAACUAUUUUUUAGUUAGCCAUUUAUAGAUUUGGCUUUUUUGUGUACUCGGGGGCUUUAAAAGCUCUUUGAUAGAUUAUGGCGAAAUGCGAUUUAUUGUGUUUGGAAUACUGCACGGAAAUGAGUUUUUUCCGCCCUAUGCUUCAUCAUAAAACGUAAACAUCCUUUCAACAGAAUUAACAGUUUUGCUUAUGACAAUAUGUCCAUCAGUUGAAAUCAACAUUGUAACGUUGUGCUUGCAUUUGAUUGCGAGUGGCGAAAAGCGGUCCUGAUUAAAACGACCCGUGUUCUCGGGCAGAAGAAGCAGGCGUCUCGGGCCACGCUUUGCACACAAGGUUACAGGUUGAGCACUUCACUGGCAGGACGAGCCCUCCUUCCAAACCCACUUCACACGAUGCCUGGUUUUCUUUGGCCUUCUACCAGAGAGUGACUUGGCAAGGGCUGCCACAGGCUCUGGGAUGGGAACAGAUGAGAGCUCCAGCAUCCGCUGCUAUCAGUUCUCAUUUAUUUACCCCAGCACUGCGACUCUGAGGGGAAAGCCUUCUCAAAUAUUUACCUGAGGUGUAAUAAAGUAACCUAUGGGUUCUGUGUCCUCAGUGGUGCUGGAUUCCCUCACUGACGUACAGUUCAGGAUCGAACAGUGUUGAUCCAGCUGGCCCAUCAAUAAAGCCUUCACAGGGUG